GACAGACUUGGAGGAGACACCAGAGAGCCGCUGACCUGACGACUUUCACAGGAACAGGGUGUGACAGUUGGAGAGAGAUAGGAGAGAGACGGGGGAUGACAGGCAGCAAAGGGCCUCAGGCUGGAAUCGAACCCACGCAGCUGCUGUAAGGACGCUGCCUUUAUACGUGGUAUGCACAGAAAACACUGGUCACAAAUGAAAAUCACCAUUUAACUGCUGAAUAAAUCAUUAAAAUGGGGAACGUACCAUCAGAAUGUCACAUGGGCGACCGCCUGAGAUGCUGCAAGUGUGAUAAAGUCCUGCCUCCGUGCACAUCCUUCGAUCAUCUCUACCAAAGUACUGUUCAUGGGCGGUACGUCUAUGUGUUCAAUGGAGGUGAAUACUACAGACCAGUUGGCGCCGAUAAUAUGUACGAGUGUGAAUACUGCUUUAAUAAACCAAUCAGGGAUCAAGAGCAAAUGAGGAGAGAGGAGGAGAGGAGAAGAGAGGAGGAGAGGAGGAGAGAGGAGGAGAGGAGAAGAGAGGAGGAGAGGAGAAGAGAGGAGGAGAGGAG